GGCGCGUGGAGUCGCUGCGGCCGACGCUCGCCGAGACCGUGCAGGUUGCCGCCGGCGGCGACGCCGCCGCGUUCGAGACGCAGGCGCGCCAC
rnacentral:tRNA from 1 species